UGUUGGUGCUUCUCUCUUAUGUUGGCAAAUAUUUAGUUUGUGCCCCAUUUUCUCCUCAGUUCUGAAAUACUGAUAUCAAAUUCUCGAAAAUCUUCCCGCUUUUUUCUCCAGGUGUAUGACCGAGAUCAGGGUUCUUAUCGUACUGAGCAUGGCCCUGGUCUGCCAGGCGCUGCAGAGACCCCAGGCUACAGACUAACGUCCACGUUUGCUCCAGAUCAUCCCGUCCUCCCAGGGGGCAGGAAAUGGCUGCAAUGGAGCUGGCUCAGGGGCCGGUGACCUUCGAGGAG